UACGUAGGGGGCAAGCGUUGUCCGGAUUCAUUGGGCGUAAAGAGCGUGUAGGCGGCCAGGUAGGUCGGUUGUGAAAACUGGAGGCUCAACCUUCAGAGGUCGACCGAAACCAUCUGGCUAGAGUCCGGGAGAGGAGAGUGGAAUUCCUGGUGUAGCGGUGAAAUGCGUAGAUAUCAGGAGGAACACCGAUGGCGAAGGCAGCUCUCUGGCCUGUAACUGACGCUGAGGUGCGAAAGCGUGGGGAGCAAACAGG
rnacentral:rRNA from 1 species